UACGGAGGGUGCAAGCGUUAUCCGGAUUCACUGGGGUUAAAGGGUGCGUAGGUGGGCAAGUAAGUCAGUGGUGAAAUCUCCGGGCUUAACCCGGAAACUGCCAUUGAUACUAUUUGUCUUGAAUACUGUGGAGGUCAGCGGAAUAUGUCAUGUAGCGGUGAAAUGCUUAGAUAUGACAUAGAACACCAAUCGCGAAGGCAGCUGGCUACACAAAUAUUGACACUGAGGCACGAAAGCGUGGGGAUCAAACAGG
rnacentral:rRNA from 1 species